GGAGUGUCACAAUGUUGGGCGCCUCUUUCACCUCCCUGCAGUUCAACAGUCUAUCAACAAGUCCUGUAGGCAGUUCUGUCUGAGGAUAAAGGCUAUGCAUAGCACUCAUUAGAUCCCAGUGCGCAUGAUCGUGGAUUAGGACAAACAGUGUGUGUGGAUUCUGCAUAGAGUUUUGCAGAAAGACUUUGAACUUAAUCUGGGCUUCUGCAUCUAGUUUCAGAACAUACUGCUCC
rnacentral:lncRNA from 1 species